UGGGGAAUAUUGGACAAUGGGCGAAAGCCUGAUCCAGCAAUGCCGCGUGUGUGAAGAAGGCCUGCGGGUUGUAAAGCACUUUUAUCGGGAAAGAAAAGCUUGGGGCUAAUAUCUCCAAGCCUUGACGGUACCCGUUGAAUAAGCACCGGCUAACUCCGUGCCAGCAGCCGCGGUAAUACGGAGGGUGCAAGCGUUAAUCGGAAUUACUGGGCGUAAAGCGAGUGUAGGUGGCCGCAUAAGUCGGAUGUGA
rnacentral:rRNA from 1 species